rnacentral:lncRNA from 1 species
AGACUACUGCCCCCAAACAAUCUUUGAUAGAAAUUACACAAGUUAGACAUAAAAAAAAAGAACCAAAAUUUAAAGGAAAAAAAGAAAGAAAGAAAAAUCAAUCCCAAUCUGAAUCAACUGGUUGAAUUAUUAUUAAAUUUACUUAAAAUUUUUCAAAUAACUUAUUUUCCUUCCUCAAGCCUCCAGAGGUGCCCACCCAGCCUGCAUCAUUCUCCAACAACAUGGGAUUCUUCACUGGCUGUCUUAUCCCGAGCAUCUCCCAGGAAUUUGAAAGUUAAAAAACAACUUCACUCUAGCAUAGUCAAAGAUUCAGCAAGAUGGAUUUGCUAUGAUGAUUUGGAGUAA